rnacentral:rRNA from 1 species
UAACCUGCCCAAGAGAUCGGGAUAACACCUGGAAACAGAUGCUAAUACCGGAUAACAACAGAUGAUGCCUAUCAACUGUUUAAAAGAUGGUCCUGCUAUCACUCUUGGAUGGACCUGCGGUGCAUUAGCUAGUUGGUAGGGUAACGGCCUACCAAGGCGAUGAUGCAUAGCCGAGUUGAGAGACUGAUCGGCCACAUUGGGACUGAGACACGGCCCAAACUCCUACGGGAGGCAGCAGCG